rnacentral:rRNA from 1 species
UUAUCCUACGGGACGCAGCAGUGGGGAAUAUUGCACAAUGGGGGAAACCCUGAUGCAGCGACGCCGCGUGAGCGAAGAAGUAUUUCGGUAUGUAAAGCUCUAUCAGCAGGGAAGAAAAUGACGGUACCUGACUAAGAAGCCCCGGCUAAAUACGUGCCAGCAGCCGCGGUAAUACGUAGGGGGCAAGCGUUAUCCGGAUUUACUGGGUGUAAAGGGAGCGUAGACGGCUGUGCAAGUCUGAAGUGAAAUGCCGGGGCUCAACCCCGGAACUGCUUUGGAAACUGUACAGCUAGAGUGCAGGAGGG